UCUUUCUUGUUUACUAAAUGAUUGGAAUUUUGUGGCUUGAGGGAGGUAAAGGUCAUGUGACUCCCAGUAUCUCCUGCUUUCUUAAAGAGUGAUGGCCACAGCCUUCUUGUGAAAUGCUUUAUAUUUCUGGAGGCUAAAGGGAAGAAUCUCAAGGAAACAUCUGAAGCCAUUUAUUGGAGGCUAUGACCCUUUCACAAAAACAAAACAAGCUGUCAAUAUCCUACAGGACAAACAAGCAUCUUGAGGCAGGUAAGAG